ensembl:snoRNA U8 U8 small nucleolar RNA
UCGCUAUGUAGAGUAAUCCUUACCUAUUGGACUAUUUAGAGGGCAGAUAGAGCAUGAUGAUUGAAGUUGGCAUGAUUCAUGAUUACUGUCUCCUGUGAUUAGGGUGCCAAAUAUUCUAAUUGCUCCUAUCUGAU